GACGAACGCUGGCGGCGUGCUUAACACAUGCAAGUCGAACGGAAAGGCCCUGCUUUUGUGGGGUGCUCGAGUGGCGAACGGGUGAGUAACACGUGAGUAACCUGCCCUUGACUUUGGGAUAACUUCAGGAAACUGGGGCUAAUACCGGAUAGGAGCUCCUGCUGCAUGGUGGGGGUUGGAAAGUUUCGGCGGUUGGGGAUGGACUCGCGGCUUAUCAGCUUGUUGGUGGGGUAGUGGCUUACCAAGGCUUUGACGGGUAGCCGGCCUGAGAGGGUGACCGGGCACAGUGGGACUGAGGUACGGCCCAGGCUCCUACGGGAGGCAGGAGUGGGGAAUAUUGCAAAAAGGGCGGAAGCCUGAUGCAGCAACGCCGCGUGCGGGAUGACGGCCUUCGGGUUGGAAACCGCUUUCGCCUGUGACGAAGCGUGAGUGACGGUAAUGGGUAAAGAAGCACCGGCUAACUACGU
rnacentral:rRNA from 1 species